AGCGGCGGACGGGUGAGUAACGCGUGAGAAUCUACCCAUGAGUGGGGGACAACCCGGGGAAACUCGGGCUAAUACCGCAUACGCCCUACGGGGUAAAGCAGGGGACCUUCGGGCCUUGCGCUGAUGGAUGAGCUCGCGUCGGAUUAGCUUGUUGGUGAGGUAAAGGCUCACCAAGGCGACGAUCCGUAGCUGGUCUGAGAGGAUGAUCAGCCACACCGGGACUGAGACACGGCCCGGACUCCUACGGGAGGCAGCAGUGGGGAAUCUUGGACAAUGGGGGCAACCCUGAUCCAGCCAUGCCGCGUGUGUGAAGAAGGCCUUCGGGUUGUAAAGCACUUUCAGUAGGGAGGAAGGCUUACCCCUAAUACGGGUGAGUACUUGACGUUACCUACAGAAGAAGCACCGGCUAAUUUCGUGCCAGCAGCCGCGGUAAUACGAAAGGUGCAAGCGUUAAUCGGAAUUACUGGGCGUAAAGCGCGCGUAGGCGGUGUGUUAAGUCGGAUGUGAAAGCCCAGGGCUCAACCUUGGAAUUGCUUCCGAUACUGGCACGCUAGAGUGCAGUAGAGGGAGGUGGAGUUUCCGGUGUAGCGGCGACGUGCGUAGAUAUCCUAGGGAACAAUG
rnacentral:rRNA from 1 species